rnacentral:misc_RNA from 1 species
GUUCUUUGGUGGCACUUCGCUGGAAGCCAGCCUAGCCGCGACGUACUUCGCCGGAUUCGACGGCUCGAACACGAAGCCAGGCGCGGUUCUGUUCGCGCAGUACAACACCACGGCCGUCUCUGCCUAUCUGCGCGGCGGCAAUGCCGGGCUGUUGUCGCUGGCGCAGUUGCAGGCGAUCUCCGGAUCGUUCAGUGUCACCAUCGACGAUAUCGUUCAGUCAGCCAGCAUCAAUCUCAGCGCCGCGCUGUCCUUCACCGGCGCAGCGCAGAUCAUCCAGCAGGCCCUCGGCAUCGAGGG